UCCGAGCCUGGGUCUCCGUCUU
rnacentral:miRNA from 1 species